rnacentral:rRNA from 1 species
UGGGGAAUAUUGGACAAUGGGCGAAAGCCUGAUCCAGCAAUGCCGCGUGAGUGAUGAAGGCCCUAGGGUUGUAAAGCUCUUUUACCCGGGAUGAUAAUGACAGUACCGGGAGAAUAAGCCCCGGCUAACUUCGUGCCAGCAGCCGCGGUAAGACGAAGGGGGCGAAGCAGUUGUUCGGAAUUACUGGGCGUGAAAGGGCGACGGUAGGCGGCCAUUUUGACGUUCAGGCGUGAAAGCCCUGGGCUCAACCUGGGAGGUGCGCUUGAUACUGGAUGGCUGGAGUGUGGGAGAGGAUAGUGGAAUUCCCAGUGUAGAGGUGAAAUUCGUAGAUAUUCGCAAGAACACCAGUGGCGAAGGCGGCUUACUGGUCCGGUUCUGACGCUGAGGCGCGAAAGCGUGGGGAGCAAACAGGAUUAGAUACCC